UACGGGGGGUGCGAGCGUUGUCCGGAAUUACUGGGCGUAAAGGGCGCGCAGGCGGCCGUGUAAGUCCGCUGUGAAAGACCGGGGCUCAACCCCGGGGUGUCAGCGGGGACUGCACGGCUGGAGUCCCGGAGGGGGAGGCGGAAUACCUGGUGCAGCGGUGGAAUGCGUAGAGAUCAGGUGGAACACCGAUGGCGAAGGCAGCCUCCUGGACGGGUACUGACG
rnacentral:rRNA from 1 species